CGGCUCACCGUAAAAUUGCAGUUGAUACUGGUUCCUUGAGUGCAGUUGAGGCAGGCGGAAUACGUGGUGUAGCGGUGAAAUGCUUAGAUAUCACGAAGAACCCCGAUUGCGAAGGCAGCUUGCUAACUGUAACUGACGUUCAUGCUCGAAAGUGUGGGUAUCAAACAGGAUUAGAUACCCUGGUAGUCCACACGGUAAACGAUGGAUACUCGCUGUUGGCGAUAUACUGUCAGCGGCCAAGCGAAAGCAUUAAGUAUCCCACCUGGGGAGUACGCCGGCAACGGUGAAACUCAAAGGAAUUGACGGGGGCCCGCACAAGCGGAGGAACAUGUGGUUUAAUUCGAUGAUACGCGAGGAACCUUACCCGGGCUUAAAUUGCAGACGAAUUACCUGGAAACAGGUAAGCCGCAAGGCGUCUGUGAAGGUGCUGCAUGGUUGUCGUCAGCUCGUGCCGUGAGGUGUCGGCUUAAGUGCCAUAACGAGCGCAACCCUCGUGGUCAGUUACUAACAGGUUAAGCUGAGGACUCUGGCCAGACUGCCAUCGUAAGAUGUGAGGAAGGGUGGGGAUGACGUCAAAUCAGCACGGUCCUUACGUCCGGGGCUACACACGUGUUACAAUGGGAGGUACAGAAGGCAGCUACCCGGCGACGGGAUGCCAAUCCCCAAAACCUCUCUCAGUUCGGACUGGAGUCUGCAACCCGACUCCACGAAGCUGGAUUCGCAAAAGUACAAUA
rnacentral:rRNA from 1 species